AAAAAAAUCUUUGCAUUUUUGCUUGAGCAGUUCUUGGACGGCUGUGAGGUGUAAGGACGACCCUGGAAGUAUAGCAUUUUCAAUGGCGUUUACACGUUUAUAACUCCAAAUUUUUACAGAUAAGACUACCAAUAUUUCCCCUUGGAUGUGGCCAGUUACUGCAAGAUGUGGAAAUGGAUAAGUUUGGAAUCUACCAAACCUGGGAGUUAAAAUGCCCCAAACUUUGCUUUAGACGUUGAUCCUCGACACUGUACCUAUGUCUGGGUAGGAUUACAUAGCAUCAAGUUCCCGUCGCUGGACAAAUGUUGGCGCCCAGGAACAUCAUAACACCAGAGAAUGGCGAGUCCUAGGCAGCUUCCUUCUGCUGUAGAGGGACCAGUUGGCAAGACGGGAUGUGGCGAGUCGCAGGCAGUUCUUCCGUCUGCUGUAGAGUGAGCAGAAGACAGGAUAUAACCUCAGCCAGCUCUUCCUUCUGCUGUAUAGUGAGCAGUGACAGAAGACGGGAUAUAACCCCAAACGGCAAAAGGUUUGAUGGACCCCAGCCAGCCAGCUCUUCCUUCUGCUGUAGUGACCAGUCGAUAAAAAAGCAGGAUAUAUCCUAACCCCAAACGGUUAAGGAUAAUUUGAGGGACCCCAACCAGAGGGGAUUUCAAGCAGUUUCCACCUGCGACACUGUUACAAGUCCACAGAUAUACCUCAGGAACGGCGAGGAGCAGGCUGCUUCUGUUGUAGAGUAACCAGUCGAAUGGAUAUGCUGCCAAAGUUCAAAGGAGACGUGUCCCUAAUAUUACUGCCUCGAAACUAUGAACUGCGAGAAGCAGGGUUGCUCAUGUUGAAGUGACCAGUCGAAUGGAUAUACUUCCCAUAUUCAAAGGAUACAUGUGGGACCCUAUGAUAUCUGGGAAAAUGAACUGGGAAAAAAAAAAAAAAGUUUUAAAAGUUAGCACUGGCUGCUUUGUGGUUUCCUUUAAACGGAAUGGUUAGCAAUGUAUGUAUUUAAAAUAGUUUAUUUUCUUUAGACGUCACUCUAUAAGUCAUUAACAUUGAAAUUAGUUAGUUCAAAACUGGGAAAGAAUGGGAUAAGAAGCAAAUUUUGCAGAACAACUACGUCCCAUGCCAAUCACCGCCCAAAAAAAAUUGUGCGGAAUCCAGAAAUUUUUUUUAAAUACAGCCCUGAAUUACCAGUAAUUCAAAGUGGGGACAAUAAAUAUCUUGAGAAUCUUCUUCGCAUUGAUCAAUCCCAAUGGUUUCUUCUUCGCGUUGAUCAAUCCCAAUGGUUUCUUCUUCGCGUUGAUCAAACCCAAAGGUUCUUCGCAUUGAUCAAACAUAGGUUCUUCCCGUUGAUCAAUCCAAAAGGUUUCUUCUUCGCUUUGAUCAAUCCCAAUGGUUUUUUCUUCGUGUUGAUCAAUCAUAAUGGUUUCUUCUUCGCAUUGAUCAAUCCCAAAGUUUCUUCGCAUUGAUCAAACCCAAAGGUUCUUCGCAUUGAUCAAACC